UACGAAGGGUGCUAGCGUUGUUCGGAAUCACUGGGCGUAAAGCGCGCGUAGGCGGCUUUUCAAGUCAGGGGUGAAAUGCCAAGACUUAACCUUGGAACUGCCUUUGAAACUGUAAAGCUGGAGUGUCGGAGGGGAUAGCGGAAUUGCUAAUGUAGAGGUGAAAUUCGUAGAUAUUAGCAGGAACACCGGUGGCGAAGGCGGCUAUCUGGACGACAACUGACGCUGAGGCGCGAAAGCGUGGGGAUCAAACAGG
rnacentral:rRNA from 1 species